GCUUAGCUCAGUUGGUUAGAGCAUGGUGCUGAUAACACCCAGGUUGCAGGUUAAACCCCCUAUGGGACAGCUGCA